rnacentral:rRNA from 1 species
GAAGUAAAAGUCGUAACAAGGUUUCCGUAGGUGAACCUGCGGAAGGAUCAUUAUCGAUGCUAAAUUGUCUACCGUCGGUGCUGGCUUUGCAUGUGCACGAUGGGGGCAUUUAUCCAACACCCUUUUGUGAACCUUUGACCUUUACUAGCUCCGGCUGGUGGAGGGUUUUUACACAACCACGAAUGUAAUGAAAUAAAUCUUGUUGUGCAGAUGCACUACAAAUAUAUAUAUAACUUUCAACAACGGAUCUCUUGGCUCUCGCAUCGAUGAAGAACGCAGCGAAAUGCGAUAAGUAAUGUGAAUUGCAGAAUUCAGUGAAUCAUCGAAUCUUUGAACGCACCUUGCACCCUUUGGUAUUCCAAAGGGUAUGCUCGUUUGAGUGUCAUUAUACUCUCACACUCUCCGAUUAGAGAGAGCGGUGGACUUGGAUGCUGCCUGGUUUUGCUGUCAGGCUCAUCUCAAAUGCAUUAGUGCAACUAUUAGUUGGACAUGGUAUGGCGUGAUAAAUAAAACCCUCGCCGUUUUUGUCUGAUUAAGAGCUCUGUGCUUCCAACCGUCCUUGUGACAAUGUCCGAUUGCUUGACCUCAAAUCGAGCAGGAUUACCCGCUGAACUUAAGCAUAUCAAUAGCCCGGGA